UUUGUACUCCCUCCGUCCUGAAAUUCUUGUCUUAAAUUUGUCUAAAUAUGGAUGUAUCUAGUUACAUUUUAGUGUUAGAUACAUUCAUAUCUAAACAAAUGUAAGACAAGAAUUUUGGGACGGAGGGAGUACUAC
rfam:Triticum aestivum genome assembly, contig: Triticum_aestivum_CS42_TGACv1_scaffold_576828_7BL